ensembl:miRNA
GAUGAAAGGAGAGGAGUCGGCAGGGGCUAGCCAUGAGCAUCCUGACCUGUGGCUCCUCUCCCAG